UUUGGUGUAAUGGUUACAUGAUAAAAAAAAAUCAAUUGAAAGCUAAAUUUCAAUAACUGUUAAACUUGCUUAAAUUAAUAUUUGUCAAAGAAUGCAAUACCCAAGUAUUUGUGAUAGCAGUAUUAAUGCUGUUAUUAGUUUGAUAUCAAUGAUGAGUAAUUUGCACUUCAAUAAUAAUAGCUUUAUUUGUGGGAGUAGGAUAAAUGCAGCUGGCAAUGGUAUUUGAUGCAUCCUCUAGUAAUAAGCAUUGCAUUGAACCUGAAAUUUUAAUGUCAACUUUUUUCUAGCUAACUUUUUUAUAUUGUUGUUCACUAAAGACAUCCUCGAGGUGCUUAAAAACAAGACAUCAGGAAUUAAAAUGUGCUUUAAAAAUAGACAACAGCAGAGUGAAUGCAGUAAUAUUUGUUUGACAAUUAAAAUCUAACAUCUUUGCAAUACAGCUAACUGCAAAUUGAAGGAAAAUAUGAUUUCUGAGAAUUUGAGGAUUUUUGAAAGAUAAACUGAGUUCCAAAUAUAAGAGACUUUAAGGUGGAAUUUUCACAAUGGAAUAGACGAUGCUGCCAUCUUGUAAGAUUCAAAAGACCAGAGGAAAAGAUAUCCAGUGAAAGUAUAAAUAAAGUCCUGCAGAGCAAUCUUCAAAUCAUAACACAACAGUGAUUGGUGGACCUGGCAGCUAAGACCCUGUUUUCUGGAAUGCCUCAUUCAUCAGCAACGCCAUAUUUAGAAGUGAAUUUGGGUGCAAUCUGGGCUCCAUCAUCAUGCUCCAGAAAACUCCUAAUGCUGGAACAUCACUUCGCUUCAGAAGGCUCAUCUCAAAAGUUCCUCCAGCCCCUCCCUCUGAUUAGAUGGCUGUUUCUAGAACCUUUGAUUGAGAAGGAUGCCCAGAUCAGCCAUCUCUUCAUUUCUCAUCAGGCUCCUCAUCAUUCUUCUUAUGCUGUGUACCCUUUUCCCUAUUUCCUUCCUUCUUAUUAAAUUUCCUUUUUAUUUUGUCUUCCCUUAUCAGAAUGGAAACUCCUUAAGAACAAGGAAUAUUUUUUUCUGCUUGUAUUAGUAAUCACAUUGCUUAACAAAGUGCCUGACAUAUUGUAAAAAAAUCUUAAUAAUGUUUGUUGACUAAUAAAAAGAGCUUUCUGCUUAUCAAAAGAAGGAAACUUUUAAGUGAUGUGAGUGAAUUUUCUUGAACUUCACCCCAAAUUUCUCAAAUGGUCGGGUUGCACCCCUCAAUGGAGCAAAAGGACCUAGGGUAUCUGUGGGGUCACUGGCACUAUGGGAUUUUUCUAUGGCAGGAGUGAGUAGC